GAGAACCCCCACCAGGCCAAAAAAAUCAUUUUGGAGCCUCUGUUCAGCGCUGUUCUGAAACGUGAGUCAACCUCCGUGUCGUUGCCUGGGAAACUCUUGACGCGAUGCGAGUGCCACUGCUGUUAUAGUCCUGAGGGUAUGGGAUGCAGGUAAUGAUGGAGUGGAGUGGACCGGAGACAUGCUGGCUUUUUAUUAUAAUCUUCAUUGAUUCUUCUCCCAGGCUUCUCGAAGUUAAAUAUACUUUUCAGUUUGACCAGAGCAGAAAAGGCACCAGCAUCACCAGCAGGGGCUUUCUUUCAGAGUGGUUGGCGGUUUGAGCCUCUGAGUUCGUUCAGAUGGAGCCAACAUACAGAUGUGCCAGGGGAGUAUGCAGGGGAAAUUGACACUGAAUUCAGCAGUAAACUAGGACCAGGGUAAGUCAAGUGUUUUUAUUGCUACCUGUGAUCAUAAAUUUCCCCUUCCCCCUGCCCCAGUAUUUGCUAAUCGCUUUUAAACCCUAACAUUCUGUGACUUAAAAGCAGAAUGGAAGACAAUUAUGAUGUCAUAAAGCUUUGGUCUCUCCAGUCUUCCAUAAACCUCUGUUCAAGGAGCAUCCUGGCAUAAUAAGAGAUGGCUUUUUAAAAAGGAUUCAGCCACUCAAGUACACAUCUGUUUAGCCAAUGCUUACUGCAUGACUGGCCUUGCUUAUUUUUGCAUUUUGUGGACUAAUCUAACUUUAUAAUGUAUAAGAUUAAAGUUUAUGGCUCCUUUGAUCAAACUGAAAAUGAGUCCAGGGGGGAUAAAAAGAAAGAGAGGAAAGGAUUCAUGUCAUGGCUGACCUGCAUAGGAUGUGAUCUGGGUGUGGAGGACUCCAUCUCACCAUAUCUGCACCCUGACAAAACCCCUCAUACCAAUAUGAACCUCACAAGUAAGUGAAUGACAUGUAUGACAGUAUGAGUUACAAACUGGCACGUUAUAUUUGGUGGACUUUUAAAACCCAAUUCACUUGGGCCACAUCUGUAUUAAAUGUUCCUAUAAAGUCAUUUUAGUGUUUAAUACAGGCAAGUUUCCUACAGUGUAGUUCUGAAAGGGAAGGGAUAACUGCGCCAAUUUGAAAACACUCGGGACAGCUAGAAAGAUUUUUUUCCCAACAAUUUAUGAAUUUG